rnacentral:rRNA from 1 species
UAGCUAGUUGGUGAGGUAAAGGCUUACCAAGGCGACGAUCUGUAGCGGGUCUGAGAGGAUGAUCCGCCACACUGGAACUGAGACACGGUCCAGACUCCUACGGGAGGCAGCAGUGGGGAAUUUUGGACAAUGGGGGCAACCCUGAUCCAGCCAUGCCGCGUGAGUGAAGAAGGCCUUCGGGUUGUAAAGCUCUUUCGGCCGGGAAGAAAUCGGAUGGGCCAAUACCCUGUGUGGAUGACGGUACCGGAAUAAGAAGCACCGGCUAACUACGUGCCAGCAGCCGCGGUAAUACGUAGGGUGCGAGCGUUAAUCGGAAUUACUGGGCGUAAAGCGUGCGCAGGCGGUUUUGUAAGACAGGCGUGAAAUCCCCGGGCUUAACCUGGGAACUGCGUUUGUGACUGCAAGGCUAGAGUACGGCAGAGGGGGGUGGAAUUCCACGUGUAGCAGUGAAAUGCGUAGAGAUGUGGAGGAGCACCAAUGGCGAAGGCAGCCCCCUGGGUCGAUACUGACGCUCAUGCACGAAAGCGUGGGUAGCAAACAGGAUUAGAUACCCUGGUAGUCCACGCCCUAAACUAUGUCAACUAGGUGUUGGGUGGGUAAAACCAUUUAGUACCGUAGCUAACGCGUGAAGUUGACCGCCUGGGGAGUACGGCCGCAAGGUUAAAACUCAAAGGAAUUGACGGGGACCCGCACAAGCGGUGGAUGAUGUGGAUUAAUUCGAUGCAACGCGAAAAACCUUACCUACCCUUGACAUGCCAGGAACUUGCCAGAGAUGGCUUGGUGCCCGAAAGGGAGCCUGGACACAGGUGCUGCAUGGCUGUCGUCAGCUCGUGUCGUGAGAUGUUGGGUUAAGUCCCGCAACGAGCGCAACCCUUGUCGUUAAUUGCCAUCAUUUAGUUGGGCACUUUAACGAGACUGCCGGUGACAAACCGGAGGAAGGUGGGGUUGACGUCAAGUCCUCAUGGCCCUUAUGGGUAGGGCUUCACACGUCAUACAAUGGUCGGUACAAAGGGUUGCCAAGCCGCGAGGCGGAGCCAAUCCCAGGAAGCCGAUCGUAGUCCGGAUUGCAGGCUGCAACUCGCCUGCAUGAAGUCGGAAUCGCUAGUAAUCGUGGAUCAGCAUGUCACGGUGAAUACGUUCCCGGGUCUUGUACACACCGCCCGUCACACCAUGGGAGCGGGUUCCGCCAGAAGUAGGUAGCCUAACCGCAAGGGGGGCGCUUACCACGGCGGGGUUCGUGACUGGGGUGAAGUCGUAACAAGGUAGCCGUAGGGGAACCUGCGGCUG